CCAUUGACUAAAUUGGUAUCACCCCGUGGAUUCGACCUUUUCAGAUUCCAUCGGUAUCUAACUAUGUACACGCGAUUACGAUCCAUUGUUUUUAGCGUUCGUUGCCGAAUACAGCUUUGUAUAUUAAACCUCAUCUAGUCCCAGAAGACAAUUUCCACUGCUGCCAGCGAUCACGGAACACCUGUCGACGUGGAAGGUGUGGAACCGCAAACGGUCAGCCACAGAAGCUUUCUUUGUGCUCGCAAACGGAACACCGGCAUCGAAUGAAUCUACAACGAGCCGAACGGAAGGGGUUCAUCAUCGCCGAGAAAGUAGCGAGGCAAUUAUUCCGCCGGUUGCGCAUCAAACAAAACCGUAACCAAAAUUGAAUACGCACAUAGGCGACGCUUGAUCCAGCCGCGCGACCUGGCUGGCAAUAUCCGCAGAUGCACACAAAACUUAUCCAAAUGUCCGCCGAGACGAAGACUGACCACCACAAAUAGAAUCAAAUUGACGACCGCUUACAGAGCUAGUCCAUGACUCGUUUUAGUUUUAACAAGAACUAAAGAGAAAGGAAGAGGCUACAGUUGACGCUAUUCGAGGUUCAUGACUCUGAACUGAGUCCUUCGGUAUUCGUUCAGAUACUUUCCAACCAUUCUAGCUACUUAUACAUUAUUAUAAGUUCUUCUAUAUUAUCUGAGCUACCAUAUGUAGUUCAUUAAUUAGUUGGCAAUAUUACAGAAGUAUUAAAGUCUGUACUUUGACGUAUAGAAUGAGUUGGAUAGCAACGACGACACAGUUUUCAGGAACUUGAAAUAGGGUCAACUGUAAGAGAGAGAGAGAUCGUUCUUCAAGAAACAGGGUUGCUGCAGCAGCAUUGUAAAGGGGAGCGGCUCUGUGAAACUAGUAACGUCGUGAAUAACGAAGGGCAAUUACAUGCAGUUACUUAUACACGUGUAGAAGUGUUGCGAGGUUGAAAGCAAUACGUAAUAUUGUACACACAUACACACACACACAUACAUUAUAUGUAUUAUAUAUUGUUUUUUUAGGUACAAGAAAUUAUUUUGUAGGAGUCUUGUCCGUAGAGUACCUGUGACUUUUAUGGAGCAAAUUAGAAUCUAUUUUAGUAAACUGUACCGCUCGUUCAUUUGAUCCUCCACUCCUCCGCCUGUGUCCUCUAUGAAAACCACAGGCCGCGCCAAGUUCAACGGCACGCACAUAUCAGCGGAGAAGACGCGUACGAAAGACUCGGAACCGUUGUAUCAGCGUUCCAAAGCGAAUCUGUAUACAUAGUCUAGUCUAGUUGAACGGCGCGCGUAUCAUUCGCAGCACGCGUGGUCACGGAUGGGCAAAAUUCAAUGACGAAGAGGAAACCAGCAUAGGUGGACAAGAAUUUUGCUCGUCUUGCAAACGAGACGAUCGUUUCUUAUUCCGCUGUAUGAGCCGCUGAUCAGCCAACACCGCAGAAUGAAAACUUCUAUCAAAGAAAUUUAUCUGAUUUCCUAAGCUAAAGUCAGUUACAUAGUUUGACGAUGAAACUUGAAAGAGUGGAGUUGACCGAUUUGCGGUUCAUAUUGUAAAGACAAAGUCUCGCUAGGUAUUUAGUUUCUUCAAAUAUUCGAACGUUGAAAAUACAGUUCUAUCGAGGCUGAACGAUCGUGAACGUUCCGAAAGCCUCGAAAGCUGUGCAAGCGUUGAAUCUUUCUAUAACUCAAUUUCUUUUCAACGACGAAGCGAGGAGUGGUAGCAAAAGGCGCCGGCCAAGAACACGCGUUGCGCUUGAUUUCUCGGCCCCCUCUGCCUGUCGUAGCAAGUUGUAUUUGUAGAAACUAGAAGCAACG